GCUGAUUGCGGGAGAUCGUGCGAGAGCAACACCCGUUGGUCACCGCCCCGCACAAACCCUACCCUUUCCAGUGCUCCCAAAUCGACGCAGCCGCCUCCCCUCUCCCUCCCUUCCUCCCCAAACGCGUCGGCCGCCUCCUCUCCACCUGCCAUACCGCGUCCCCGCUGCCGCCAUGGCCUCUUCAGGAGGCACGCCCGUCCAUGGUGUGAAGCAGCAGACCAGGAUCUGGAUGAGGAAGAGGAGAUCCGGGCGCCCCAACGGUGGAUCGAUCGAUGCGAGGUGACAACGAGCUCCUCCGGACGUGGGGGAGCAGCGAGGCCGGAGAUCCAGUCGGCGCAUGCGGGUCGAAUUAGCUGCAGCGCUCCGGUCCCCAAGCCGCCUCCAGGCUCGCUUCCUCCAUCCUCCCACGUCGAUUGCACCCCUCCUCCCGCAUCUCACCCAUCUCGAUGGAUGGCGUGCGGGCACAGAGGCGAGGUUCUCCGGCGGCGGCGGGAACCUCCAGGCAGAGCGACCCCAUGGAUCCGUCCCUGCAGGAGAAAAGGAAUGAGAGGAGCAGCGGCGCUGGCCUCUCCUCUCCCUGCACCGCCGCUGUCCUGCGUUGUCACUGACGUCCCCAAGUGCUUCUCUCCAGAAAUGGUGCCACCAUGUCCAGAUCAAGUCAAGCGCCAGACAUAUGGAGGAAGAUUAGUUAGUAAUGCCCAUAUGAAUUUGAACGUACAAUUUAUAGACAUCCUUCAAUUGCAUUACAAGCCCUGGAAGAGCGACACCAGCCAGGUAGGCCUCUCCCUCCUCUCCAUGCUCCACAUGAGGUGUGCAGGUCACCACCGUGACAUAUCGUCUCUGCUCUCGCGGUUAUGCCUUACUUGCAGCAUGUGUGAUGUGUGCGUGCUUACUGAUGUGUGGCAAUUUCUUAAUUAUAAGUCCCAGUUUAUGCACUUUCUAGAAGGAUGACGGUAAGGAGGGGCUACCUUUUCCUCAGAGAGGACCCUAACUGAACUUUGUAUCGAAGCUUUGUGUGUGUUUCUCCUUAAUCUGUGUGUAAAUUCAGAGUUCUAAUCACCAUCCUGGUGUUUGCUGAUUUCAGGCAUUGUAUGGGAUGGAUCUAUCAUGCUGAGAUUAGUUGUAGACUUCCUUGCUGAACCCUGCAUGGAGCAAUGCAUCCCCAGUUUGCUUCCAGAGGAGGAAGGGGAAGAGGUGAACCUGCUUGUUCUUCAUUUAUUCCUAAAUAAAUAUCUAAUCUCUUGGGGUUAUUAAGAAGAGGGUCAGUAUUGCCCGGAACCAUAAGAUCUGAGAGAGGAGAGGAACAGAAGAAUCCAUUAGAAGAAUUUAGUGAAGAACAAGGGCAAUGUUUAUUGACGAUUUUUUGCUUUGGAAAACACUUUCCGUAUGCUGCCUGAAAUGGAUUCUUCAUAACGUUGUCUUUGAAUUCGCACCAAAUUCAGUCACAAUUCAAUACUGAUUAAAGCAAUAGGAAUUUCACCGGCAAGUGUUUGUGAGUCGUUCUUGGCAUAUAUUGUCCUAUAGUAAUACUUGAUGUAGUUAUUGAAUCGAGAUAUCUGGAUUUAUUUACUUCCAUUUGACUUAUUCAUUCUGGGAUGAAUUUUGUGUUUGCCUGCCUUUCACCUCUACACACCAUCAUUGUUUUCUUGAUGUUGUCACCCAUGUGUUAAUGUUGUAGAAGAUGUAUCAUUUGACUUCUUUUAGGUUCUAUUUUUUUACUGAGCAUACGUGGAUGCCCAUGAAGUGUUCAUUGUUUUUUUAACAAGUAAAUAUUGAUGCACAGAAGAUUUAUAUGGUAGUUUCCAUUCUGGUUUACAUGGGUAGUACCUGAAGCUUAUUUAUAUUUCCACUCCUGUGGAUUUAUUUGAGAUUCUUGAUUCUUGACAUAUCAGGAGUUAGUGUUGGUGUUAUGUUCUACCAGAUCCAUUUUUUGCUCAUGUUUCUUAGGUUCAAUUAGUGUUCUCCAUUUUUCUAAUAAGUGAACGUGGACACAUACAGACAGUAGAGGAACAAUCACUGUUCUCUUUGUGUUUUAGCGAGUAUAUGUGGAUGCACAGAAAGCAUUAUGUUCUUGUUUACAAGGUAGUACAUGGAGCAUAUUUACUUUGUCUAAACUGUAAUAUUUAUUUUGUCUGCUUGCAUCAAAAUCGAAAUGCGGCUUUUGCUUGCUAAUAAUUUUGGUUACGGUGUGGCUGGCUACCUAUUACUCAAGAUGGUUCCAUAUUAUAUCAUCAAUUUCAGGAACCUUAUCUCAUAUGUUGCUGAUUUCAUAACAGAUUGUUGGCAUUGUAGCUUCAAGAGACAUGUAUGUUGCUUAUCUUUUGCCUACUGAGCACACAAAACAAAUGUUUCUAUGAAUAUAUGUAAGUGAAACAACAUGCUCCCAUUUUUGGUCAGUUGGUGGACCUGACUAAUACAUAUUUUUUUGGUGAGAGAUAUUAUUCAUAUGUUCUCAGCCAUGUACCCAUAAUUAAUAAACUAAUGGUUUUUUUGUUGGGCUGUUGCUGCCUCCAAUCUUUUGCCCGGCAAACAAAUGCUCAAUAUUUAUUUGUUUUCUCCUUCCUACGAGUGCUUCGUCCUUGUAUCUGUUGGUGGAAUACAAUGUUCUUUAUUCUCCAUGUUUUGGUUAAUAUCAAUUUCCAUGCUUCAUGUUUGUUUACCUUUAUCAUUUUUGCACUGUCUUGUAUUAAAACAGGAUUCUUUACUCAAAUCCUGCUAAUAACUAAAGCCUUUCAAGGAUGUUGCUUCAAUAUGGAAAGAUGUUCCCCUGCAAGUUUUUUGAUUGUUACAACAAAGACUACUUUUUGAGUUGUCGAGGCGAGUUGAUGAUCUAACCACUAGCGGCUGAGAAACUUCAUUUAGAAUGUGACGUGUCAUGUACUUAUAGGCUAAUCGAGUGACCUUUUUGUUAUCUAUGGAAUAUGAAUCUCCAAAUUUUGUGCGUGCUCUAAGCAGUAAGCACUCAAAAUUUGUGGUUGUAAACAAUAUUUAACCUUGUUAUUCUUCACAAAUAGUGUAAUGACAUAGGAAGAUAUAAACAUGGUAUUUUCUGAUGGUCUCUUUUAAAUUGGGCCAGUAAUUUUAUUUGUGUAGAUAACAACAUGUGGACCUCCUUCAGAGUCAUGGGAAGAAAAACUUUGGGUUAAAAGCAAAUUUAAACACAUUGUAUUUUUCGGAUUUUGUGAUUUAUGAUGUUCAGGUCAAGGAUGUCAAGUUCUGCUUCUCUGUUUCGAACCUUUUAUUCUCUGUUUGGCCUAUAACUUGUAUUGCCUUAUUGGUAAAGAUUUAAAUUAAGCCUUGCUGCUACAAACUUUUAUUUUCUUGGAGAAGAUUGUAUUCAUUGGUUGGUGAGUUGAUCUAUUUGUGAUUUGUACCUCGGUUGACAGAACAUCUGAUAUUUGAAAUGAUGAAUCGGGGAUCUUAGGGUCAUUAGAGCAUAUGUAACUCGGGAACAACGACAAGUUGUUUAUGUUGAAGGUGAUCACACCUUGAUUGCUGGACAUGAUCGGAUUCAGUUAGAUGUGAUAUUGGGGUCCAAAAAGAUUGAGGUUUGUACAACUCCUAAAAGUUCAUCUAAUCCUUUCAAGCACUCAGUCCCUUUUAGGGUUAUGUUUGUUUCACCUAAUUAAUAAUUGGAAUUUGUUGGCACCAAACAUUAGUCUACACUCGUAUUUAUGAUGAGAACUAUGAAAAUUUAUUUUGUAGUACAUUGUGGUUUAUUAGUGUUCUACAGACUAUGGUCAUUUGUGUUAUGUUCUCUAUUAUAAACUGUCACAAUAUUUGGCCAAACCUUGCGUACAUCCUGUACAUACUUUUCUCAGUUUAAGCCCCCAUUCAGCAUUCUGGUGAUUAUGCCAAUCACCGUUGUCUGAACCCUGAUUUAGAUGUUUGGAAGCGUGUCUAGCUGCCUUUUUCUGAGGUUGCUGACAAAUAUACUACUGUCUCUUCCAAAACAUAUGGUAUGAAAUUUAGCUACAACCAUUUGACUGUCUCUUCCAAACCUUCCUUGCUUUUGCAAAUAAUACUUUAUGGUUGGCACUAUUGUCUAUAUCUGCCAAAUAUUUACAUGUUAGUAUAGCCAGAAAUUCAGAUGCCACACAUUAGUGAUGGUUUGUUAUUCAUCAUUCCAUGUUGGUUAGCCAUGAUAAAUUUGAUUUCUAGAGUAGCAGAUGAUUCAUGUCAGGUUUCUUUUAGAGAUUGAAAUAUGCGUUGACUCUGAAAUAAGUAGUACGCCGUCCAGUUCUGCAUAGGUGAAAGCAUACUGAUCCCAUUUACAUACUAUGCAAAACUGGACGGCCUUCUAAAUAUUUAAAACUACUAUUUGUUGUGUAAUCUGUAUCACCUCUUCAUACUCUGUAUAUGCUUUCGACUUACUCCCUCCGUCUGAAAAAACUUGUCCCUCAAAUACAUGUAUCUAGCACCAAGUUAGUGCUAGAUACAUCCAUUUGAAAGAUAAGCUUGAGACAAGUUUUUCUGGACGGAGGGAGUACUAGGUAAAAGUGCGUGAGAAUGAUGGCCUUUUAUUCAUUCAAGAGCUCUAAAUGACACCGUUGUAUUGGCAACAUAUUCAGUCAUUUCGGAUCAUCUUGUUGGUGUGUGCUGUAAAAUGAGUUGUGACAUUUGUUGGUAUGUGCUGUAAAAAACUGAAAAAAAGCAGUUCAUGUUUAUUUUUCUUCUGAAUUUUGUUCCCCUGUAAGAUGUGGCCUACUGUAUACUCUUGGGAUAAAUGAGUUGUGACAUUUGUUGUUGUCCA